UCAACAAACAUUUAUUGUGUGCCU
rnacentral:miRNA from 1 species